rnacentral:rRNA from 1 species
AAGUCUGGUGCCAGCAGCCGCGGUAAUUCCAGCUCCAAUAGCGUAUAUUAAAGUUGUUGCAGUUAAAAAGCUCGUAGUUGAAUUUCGGGGUUAGUAGGUUGGUCAUGCCUCUGGUAUGUACUGGUCUCACUGAUUCCUCCUUCCUUAUGAACCGUAAUGCCAUUAAUUUGGUGUUGCGGGGAAUUUGGACUGUUACUUUGAAAAAAUUAGAGUGUUUAAAGCAAGCUAACGCUUGAAUACAUUAGCAUGGAAUAAUGAAAUAGGACGUUCGAUCUUAUUUUGUUGGUUUCUAGGAUUGACGUAAUGAUUAAUAGGGGUAGUUGGGGGCAUUAGUAUUCAAUUGUCAGAGGUGAAAUUCUUGGAUUUAUUGAAGACUAACUACUGCGAAAGCAUUUGCCAAGGAUGUUUUCAUUAAUCAAGAACGAAAGUUAGGGGAUCGAAGACGAUCAGAUACCGUCGUAGUCUUAACCAUAAACUAUGCCGACUAGGGAUCGGAUGAUGUUAAUUUUUUAAUGACUCAUUCGGCGCCUUACGGGAAACCAAAGUGUUUGGGU